UGGUUUUGGAACUUUAGGAGUGCCAUAAAGAAGAAUAAAUCUGUAAAAGAAAGAGAAACUAAAAUUGUGAAAAUAUAAAGAGUAAAAAAAAAAAAAAAGAAUAAAUAAUUAAAUACAAAAAUGUGGAAACAUAAAGAGAAAUGGGCUAAAUAAGUAAAUACAAAGAGUUGGAAAUAUAAAAAAGAAAUAAAAGAAUACAUGAAUGUGGAUAUUGGAGCCAAAAUUAUGAUUUUGAUAUUAACUUAUUUUUGAUGAAUUGUGCAUAAGCCCAUUGAUAUUGAGAGUAAACCAGACUCAUUAUGAACUAGUCAGUUGUGUUAAUUGAUCUUGGUACGUGGCGUAUCGUCACAGCCUUCUGACAAACAGCUGAUUGAGGCAGUGAUUGUAUCAGCUGGUAUAGAACAGCUGAGCUCUCAUUUACUUUUUCUUCUUUGUUUGUAGCCACACGGUUUUUGACCGUUCUACUGCUCAGUACCGCUAAGGGAUUGUAGAUUUUAGCGCCCUUUAUAUAGAGAGUGUGGCCAACUAGGGAAUCGAAUGUUCUGUUAUGCGAUUGGUUCCGAGGUGGUCACGUGUUUCGUGGACUCCAUGUUUGAAACCAACAUUCAUCAGAUUCCCAUUGACAUAGUGCAGGAAAUAGUGGAAAAAUGUAAUAAAUUAUUUUAAAAAUGACAUAAA